rnacentral:rRNA from 1 species
AUUGAACGCUGGCGGCAGGCCUAACACAUGCAAGUCGAGCGAGCGGCGAACGGGUGAGUAAUGUCUGGGAAACUGCCCGAUGGAGGUGGAUAACUACUGGAAACGGUAGCUAAUACCGCAUAUUACCAGAUGUGACCAGAUGGGGUUAGCUAGUGGGUGAGGUAACGGCGCACCUAGGUGACGAUCCCUAGCUGGUCUGAGAGGCUGACCAGCCACACUGGAACUGAGACACGGUCCAGACGCCUACGGGAGGCAGCAGUGGGGAAUAUUGCGCAAUGGGCGCAAGCCUGAUGCAGCCAUGCCGCGUGUAUGAAGAAGGCCUUCGGGUUGUAAAGUACUGUCAGCGGGGAGGCGUUACCCGCAGAGGAAGCACCGGCUAACUCCGUGCCAGCAGCCGCGGUAAUUC